rnacentral:lncRNA from 13 species
AAAGGGCUGGGAUUACAGCAUGAACCACCAGGCCUGGCCAGUCAUGGUAUUUUAAACACUGUAAAAAACCCUCCAGUGGUUCCCUAUCUUGUCUGCAGUGAACUCUGAAGUCCUUCUCACGGCACUCACCCUUGCUGCCUCCAGGUGCCUUGCAGGCACCUCUCUGGAGAUAAAGAAACAAGUGCAGAGAAGUUAGGCAACAGAAAUGGUCAUGGAUGAAUCUGGAAAACAUCAUCCUCAGCAAACUGACACAAGAACAGAAAAUGAAACACCACAUAUUCUCACUCAUAGGUCAGGGGCUGGCUGAGUGGGC